CGGGAUUUCACCGUGUUAGCCAGGAUGGUCUCGACCUACUGACCUCGUAAUCCGCCCGCCUCAGCAUCCCAAAGUGCUGGGAUUACAGGCAUGAGCCACCGCUCCCGGCCCGGCAGGCCCCCUAGAAGAUGCCAAUCAAAAUAAACUGCAUUCUUGAGACACAGGGCAAGAAAUUAAAGCUAUCCACCUCCUCAAGGCCCAGGGACUACGUGGAAGAGACAUCGAGUCAUGAAUAUGGAAUGACUUCACCUGACUUCACUUGAAAUUCACUUAAUUUUCAACUCUGUUGGCUAUGAGAAAAGGACAUCCAGGCCUCACACAAAAAUGGAUCAAUGAAUUGAAACUCACCAAAUCACCACCACCAGACAACGGGAUGCUGAGUCUCAUUCAUCAUGAUUGCUUCCUGAAGCCUUCUGAGUUCCUGUUUCCCUACACAUUGUUACAUUUCUUCCCUGCAACAUAAACCCCCAAUUUUAGUCCAUCAAGGUUAUAGAUUUGAGACUGAUCUCCCAUUUCCUUGGCUGCAACACCCAAUUAUAGCCUUCUUGGCAAUAAUUGUUGUCUCAGUGAUUGGCUUUCUUUGUGGCCAGCAGCAGGACCUAGACUGAACACCUGAUUUUCUGGUAACAGUAUAAUUUUUCUUCUUUUGUCUAUUGUGGUAGGUUACAUUGUUUGAUUUUUAAAUUAAACUGGCACUGCAUAGCUAGAGUAAAUGUGACUUUGUUGUGUUAAUUUUUAUAUGUUGUUGAAUUUGAUUUUCUUGUGUUAUGUUGAGAAUUUUACAUAUAUCUUUAUAAGAGAUAUUUGCUCGUAAUUAUCUUUUUGUAAAAUAUCUCUGUUUUUGCUAUGAAGGUUAUAAAAGUAAUUUUGGGAGUGCUCCCUAUUUUCUAUUAGAGAAUGAGGGAACUGGUACCAAUACUACCUUAAAUGUUCAAUAGAAUUCACAUUCGAAAUUAUCUAGGACUGGUUAUCUUUUGAGAAAAGUUGUUAAACAUUAUUCAGUGUCUUUAAUAGAUAUAGGCCUGUUCAGUUUAUCUAUUUCUCCCCAUGUGAUCAAUGGAAAUUUGUGUCUUUCACGUGAUUUUUCUAUUUCUUCUAAGUCAUCAACUUGUUGAUAUAAAGUUAUUCACAAUAUUCUUAUCCCUUCAAUGUUCAAAGAUUGUUAUUAAUAUUCAUGAAACUGGUAGUACUGAUCUUGCUUUCUUUUUUGAUAUUGUAUUGCACAUCUUUUCUCUUUUCAUGUUCAUUAAUUUGUGUGGAGGUUUAUCAAUUGUAUUCAUUUUAUUAAAGGACAAGUUUCUGGUUUUAUUAA
rnacentral:lncRNA from 10 species